AUGGUGGCGGUACCCGCGGUGAGGUUCCCGAUGUCCGGCCUCGUACGGCUGCUUGGCGUGGCCGCGGCAGCGGUCAUCGUCGUCUGGGCCGUCCACUUCCGCGGCGGUAUGGCGCUCUCCGCCGAGAAAGACAAGCUUCUCAUCUUCAACGUACACCCUGUGCUAAUGCUGAUUGGAUUGGUAGUCCUGAAUGGCGAAGCUCUUUUGGCGUACAAGACAGUGCCAGGAACCAAGAAACUGAAGAAGUUAGUACACAUUACAUUGCAGUUCCUUGCCAUGUUUUUGAGUCUAGUUGGCCUCUGGGCUGUCUGGAAGUUCCACGAUGAAAAAGAAAUUGACCACUUGUACACACUCCACUCCUGGUUGGGCCUUUCUUGCAUCAUCAUCUUCAGCUUGCAGUGGGCUGCUGGUUUUUUGACCUUCUGGUACCCUGGAGGAUCGAGAAGCGACAGAGCGUCCCUGCUCCCCUGGCAUGUGUUCUUGGGUGUAUUUCUCUAUGUUCUUGCCAUCGCCACAAGCGUGACUGGACUUCUGGAGAAGUCAAUCUUCAUGCAGAGUGCAAAAAUGAUCGGGCGCUUCUCCACAGAAGCGAUGCUGAUGAACUCACUGGGGAUGAUGCUGAUACUACUAGGAGCUCUUGUUAUUCUUGCUAUUUUUAACCCUGGAGCUGGCAAGAUUGACACGUACCGAGGUUCUUCAGAGUGA
rnacentral:rRNA from 1 species